rnacentral:rRNA from 1 species
AGAGUUUGAUCCUGGCUCAGGACGAACGCUGGCGGCGUGCUUAACACAUGCAAGUCGAGCGAUGAAGUUCCUUCGGGAAUGGAUUAGCGGCGGACGGGUGAGUAACACGUGGGUAACCUGCCUCAUAGAGGGGAAUAGCCUUCCGAAAGGAAGAUUAAUACCGCAUAAGAUUGUAGUUUCGCAUGAAACAGCAAUUAAAGGAGCAAUCCGCUAUGAGAUGGACCCGCGUCGCAUUAGCUAGUUGGUGAGGUAACGGCUCACCAAGGCGACGAUGCGUAGCCGACCUGAGAGGGUGAUCGGCCACAUUGGGACUGAGACACGGCCCAGACUCCUACGGGAGGCAGCAGUGGGGAAUAUUGCACAAUGGGGGAAACCCCUGAUGCAGCAACGCCGCGUGAGUGAUUACGGUCUUCGGAUUGUAAAACUCUGUCUUCAGGGACGAUAAUGACGGUACCUGAGGAGGAAGCCACGGCUAACUACGUGCCAGCAGCCGCGGUAAUACGUAGGUGGCAAGCGUUGUCCGGAUUUACUGGGCGUAAAGGGAGCGUAGGUGGAUAUUUAAGUGGGAUGUGAAAUACUCGGGCUUAACCUGGGUGCUGCAUUCCAAACUGGAUACCUAGAGUGCAGGAGAGGAAAGUAGAAUUCCUAGUGUAGCGGUGAAAUGCGUAGAGAUUAGGAAGAAUACCAGUGGCGAAGGCGACUUUCUGGACUGUAACUGACACUGAGGCUCGAAAGCGUGGGGACCAAACAGGAUUAGAUACCCUGCUAGUCCACGCCGUAAACGAUGAAUACUAGG